AAUACAAUAAUUCAUUUUCUCAUAGCUUUGGAGAGUAGAAAAUCCAAGAUCAAGGUGCUGGUCAAUUUGUUUCCUGCAAAUCAGUACUAUACGGACAUUCAUGAGCCAGUCUCACCCAGUUUUUCCAACUACCAGUAAGACUGGAGAAGAUAAAUGGAUUUUUUUCCUAGCUUCUCAACAAACUUCUUACUUUAUUGUGAAGUGUCGAAGAAAGUAUUCAUGAAAUCCAUAACCAUUGAAAAUUCAAAUCAGUGAACAUCAGGUGAAGAAUGUAUUUUUCCUCUCACUGAUGUAACUGAUCUGAAGAAGAAAAAAAAAAAGGAGCUGGUGAAAGAAGAUGAGGAGGAGGAUAUCUAAAUAUCAUUAAAAUGUAGAAAAACUUGUAUUAAAUUUACCAAUUAACAUACCCCAAAUUUGUGCAGAUACGUAAAAAUUCAUAUGAAAGUGUCUUUUGUGAAAAUAAUCACAGUAUUGUUUAAAAAGAGCUAUCCAGUCCAGCAGUAUCUGCUGUAUCAUUUACCAGCUACCUGCUGGAUAGAAGAUAAUUGAUCUCUUGUGCCUUAGUUUCUCAACCUGUGAAAUCAUAAUUCUAGCACCUGCUUCUCUUCUGCAUGUACAUUGUGGCCCAUAAAACUGCACAGUGACAUUUCUUGAGACACUCCUGGGAGCAAAGACAAAAAGUGGAAACACUCUAAUGCCUAGUGUUAAUGUUCUGAGGUCUGCCAAGGUUAUAGGGUCAAAUGUGUGAAAAGCUCUCUAGUGGAGGGAAUCUCACACU